UUUUUGGAGGUUCAAGCUUCACUAUAAAUCGUCAUUUUUUCUUACUUUCAAAUUGUAUUCCCUUCCAGAGCUUUUGUAAUAGUUUUUGGAGGUUCAAGCUUCACUAUAAAUUUAACCACUAAAAUAUGGAUUAUAUUGUAUUCAAAAUAAUUUUUCAGUGGUAUCUUUUUAAGUUCGGUUCAUGCUGAUUACUACGCCCUCCUUCUACCGUUAAUUUUUUUAUUUUCAAAAUUUAUUCCCUUCCAGUGCUUGUGGGAUAGUUUUUGGAGGUUCAAGCUUGACUAUAAAUUUAGCCACUAAAAUAUGGAUUAUAUUGUAUUUGAAUUGCAUUCCCUUCCAGAGCUUUUGUAAUAGUUUUUGGAGGUUCAAGCUUCACUAUAAAUUUAACCACUAAAAUAUGGAUUAUAUUGUAUUCAAAAUAAUUUUCAGUGGUAUCUUUUUAAGUUCGGUUCACGCUGAUUACUACGCCCUCCN
rnacentral:lncRNA from 1 species